rnacentral:rRNA from 1 species
AGACGGAGGGGGCUAGCGUUGUUCGGAAUUACUGGGCGUAAAGCGCGCGUAGGCGGACCAGCAAGUUGGGCGUGAAAGCCCUGGGCUCAACCCAGGAAUUGCGCUCGAAACUGGUGGACUAGAGUCCGGGAGAGGAUAGUGGAAUUCCCAGUGUAGAGGUGAAAUUCGUAGAUAUUGGGAAGAACACCAGUGGCGAAGGCGGCUAUCUGGACCGGUACUGACGCUGAGGUGCGAAAGCGUGGGGAGCAAACAGGAUUAGAUACCCCAGUAGUCC